CCGAGGAGUCCUGGCCGUUCGCGAGUCGUAGGGGCCCUUUCACGAACCCCGAAGGCGUAGCGAAAGCGAGAGAGCGCGUAGGAGGGCGCCGGUCUUGGAGAGGUGUCGCGGCGAGGCGGGCCGUUGGUCGCGUGUGUGCGGUUCUCCGUCGCGCGUGGUCAGCUCCGUCGAGCCGUGCCCGAUCCUGCCGGUGCGGUGUCGGGCCUUCCUCCGUCUUCGCGUCGUUUCGCUCUGUUGCCUUGCCGUCCUUUCUCCGUCCUCGUGGCGGUGGGGGGAAGAACGGGCGACGGGGUCGGCGUGUAAGGCGGGCGGUCGCAGUUUUUUUUCUGGGGACGUCUUCGCCGCCUCGUUUCGCGGGGACGUUCGUUCGGCGCCAGCCUCAUCCUCCUUGCGCCCAUCGGUGAGAUCCCGCGGCUUGAACUGGUUCCAUUUUGUGUCACCGGGUUUAGGCGCUGCGCGCGGGCGCAUCACCCCCGGGUCGGAUCCUUUACCGAGUACGACUCGGCCGACUCUGGCGUAGCGAGCGGCCAGGGACCCGAAAGAUGGCGAUCCACGCCCGGUCGGGAUGAAGCCAGAGGAAACUCUGGUGGAAGUCCGAAGCGCCUCUGACGUGCAAAUCGAUCGUCGGAACCGGGUGUAGGGGCGAAAGACCAAUCGAGCCGUCUA
rnacentral:rRNA from 1 species